GUGUCAGCAGCCGCGGUAAUACGAAGGGGGCUAGCGUUGUUCGGAAUUACUGGGCGUAAAGGGCGCGUAGGCGGCGUGUCAAGUCAGGCGUGAAAGCCCCGGGCUCAACCUGGGAACCGCGCUUGAGACUGGCACGCUCGAGUUCGGGAGAGGACGGCGGAAUUCCCAGUGUAGAGGUGAAAUUCGUAGAUAUUGGGAAGAACACCGACGGCGAAGGCAGCCGUCUGGACCGACACUGACGCUGAGGCGCGAAAGCGUGGGGAGCAAACAGGAUUAGAAACCCGCGUAGUCC
rnacentral:rRNA from 1 species